rnacentral:lncRNA from 1 species
ACAGGCACAUGCCACCACACCUGGCUAAUUUUUUUAUUUCUAGUAGAGACGGGGUUUCACCAUGUUGGCCAGGUUGGUCUCAAACUCCUGACUUCAGGUGAUCUUCCCGCCUUGGCCUCCCGAAGUGCUGGGAUUACAGGGAUGAGCCACUGCGCCUGGCCUUAUUUUUAAAAUUUAUUUGUUUUGAGACAGAGUCUCUCUCUGUCACCCAGGCUGGAGUGCAGUGGCAUGAUCUGGGCUCACUGCAGCCUCUGUCCCCCAGGUUCAAGCAAUUCUCCUGCCUCAGCCUCCUGAGUAGCUGGGAUUACAGGCACCUGCCACUGUGCCUGGCUACUUUUUGUAUUUUUAGUAGAGACAGGU